rfam:Myotis lucifugus cont2.19611, whole genome shotgun sequence.
UUUGUAAUAUAAUUGUGUCCCAUGCAAUAUUUGAGACACACUUAUACUAAAA